AAGAAAUGUGAUGAAGAUGAUUAUAUUCUCACCUACCAGGACAAAAAAGGAGAAUGGCUGAUUGCAGGCGAUAUUCCAUGGCACUGUUGGUUUCAAUUAGAUGAGGCUAACAUCUCCAUCACCGGUGUAUAGAGGUAUCUUCGCCAUGUUCCUCACAAGUUCAAGACAGGUUUCAAGGAAGGUACUGAAGUAACACCAAGAAAGAAGGUUGCAGCAGCUUCUGCUUAAAAGGCAAAUUGUAAUGGUAUAAGGUUUUGUUUUGGAUGAAGCCAUGUUUAUGAGGAAACAUUUAGUGAUGAAGAGUGAAAUUAUGUUCCAUUGGAUGCUUUAGUUGUUAUUUAGUUUCUAUUUGAAUGUAGCUGUCUUAUAUUUUGAACAAUUAUUGGAGCUAAUGUUUGACCCUUAAUUUCUUCAUUGUCUUUUUUUUUUAA